ensembl:lncRNA
GGAGUAUUAUGGGAAUUUUUGACACAUCUUUGUUAAGUUUAAUGUCUUUUGCAUCAUCACGGUCUAUUAAACAGCAUUAUAUCUGUGCUGUCAGUGACUAUAUGACCUGCUGAAGGUAACAACACGAUCCCGAAACCAAUGACCCACAGCCUGAGAGGAACAAAGAGCUACACAUGACCUGAGAGGUACAAUUUUGUGUAUUUAGUUAGUUAGUUAGUAAGUAAAACAAAAUGAAUCUAUUUAAUUUUUUACCAAUCUGUGUUCCUUUAAAAGAUCUUAAUUUUCAGAUAUGAUAAUUUUUUAUAAAUUUUUAGAUCAUUUUUCUCAAUAUAACAUAUGAUUUUAUUGUCUUCGUUUUAUUUCAAUCAAGCAUAUUAUAUUUUCGCGCUGUUUUAUUUAUUUAUUUAUUUAUCAUAGGAUAUUAAUGUGUGUGGAUUUUUUGGAGGUGAGGCUCCGAGUGAAAUGUCAACAGCCACCUGCGUGUUGUUAAAGCUCGACGCUUGAAGGGGGUGUGGAUCAAUAUUAAUCACCGGAAACCAAAGGGAUCGAAUUAAAGUUUCCGUGGCAAGGAAGCCGAAGCACAUCUCAGAAUGCAAAUAAAUCAAGAAAGAAAACCAAACCAAUUCAGUAUGCAAAAUAUAACAAGAAGUCAUUGCAGUCGGAUUUCGAAAGUGACGCUGGUCCUGAUGCUGCGCGCAGGAUGCAUCUCAUCUCCAUCAGCCGGUCCAGCUCUCUGCAGGUCCGGUGCGCACAGGGUGACCAACCCGCAGCAGCUGGCCUAAGAGCCGUUUUACAGACCGACGCCAGCACCGCAGAAUGAUCCCAGCAGUUGUCCUCUCGCAGAAUGUUAUUACAGAAGGAGGGAAGGUCAGAUUGCAAGGAUGAUACAUGGGAGGUGCUUUUGAAAUAAGUAAGUCCUUUUUUUUUUUGCAUGAGCGUUGUGUAUUGACCUUGGCAUUUCUGACAAUAACAUCCAUCAUGCACAUGAACCCCUUCCAAACACACAACGGCAGUCCACGCUGAGGCCAAAUGAAUCGGAUUAAGGAAUAACACUGGUGGAUGGAUGCCUGACAUCCAGCGAUAGCAGAAUAAACUAUCAGUUUCUCAGGCUCUCGGGUUUCA